AAUUAAAGCAGGUUAAAGGAACUUUUAUUUUGGAAAAAGAACUGCUGCUGUUUCAAGACAUGCGCACUAGCUGCGACAUCUAGUGACGACAUUUACCGGGCUUUAACGGUUGUUGCUGCAUGAAGUCUGCUGCAAUUUCUCUGAGAUUUCUCAAGAUCAUCAGUUUGGACAGAAUUCAUUUGAAGAAUUAAUAGCACUAGCAGGUUCCAAUAAAGGCUGGAACAGAACAGACAGAAAAGAAUCUGUCAGAAGAAAUUCAACUACUGUUCGUGCACCAGAUGGUGAAGUAGAAAAGUUCGUAAAAACUUCUGCAGCUUGCAUCUGACAGAGAUGCAAAAAGAAUAAGAGAGCGGGCCUGAAAACAAGCAAAUUCAAGUCUUUCCUUCUUUUAGGGUACACUUGAGGAGUGUCCAGAUGUUUAUUAAUGUUUUAUUAAUGUAAUGUUAUGUUUCAAAUAAACAUGUAAACAUACUGUAUAUUUUUCUUUCUUUUUUAAACACCUACAGUAAAGUGUGACACU